rnacentral:rRNA from 1 species
UGCAGUCGAGCGCUCUCUUCGGAGGGAGCGGCGGACGGGUGAGUAACACGUGGGAAUAUGCCCUUCUCUGCGGAAUAGCCUCGGGAAACUGAGAGUAAUACCGCAUACGCCCUUCGGGGGAAAGAUUUAUCGGAGAAGGAUUAGCCCGCGUUAGAUUAGGUAGUUGGUGGGGUAAUGGCCUACCAAGCCUACGAUCUAUAGCUGGUUUUAGAGGAUGAUCAGCCACACUGGGACUGAGACACGGCCCAGACUCCUACGGGAGGCAGCAGUGAGGAAUCUUAGACAAUGGGCGCAAGCCUGAUCUAGCCAUGCCGCGUGUGUGAUGAAGGCCUUAGGGUCGUAAAGCACUUUCGCCAGAGAUGAUAAUGACAGUAUCUGGUAAAGAAACCCCGGCUAACUCCGUGCCAGCAGCCGCGGUAAUACGGAGGGGGUUAGCGUUGUUCGGAAUUACUGGGCGUAAAGCGCACGUAGGCGGAUCAGAAAGUUGGGGGUGAAAUCCCGGGGCUCAACCCCGGAACUGCCUCCAAAACUCCUGGUCUUGAGUUCGAGAGAGGUGAGUGGAAUUCCGAGUGUAGAGGUGAAAUUCGUAGAUAUUCGGAGGAACACCAGUGGCGAAGGCGGCUCACUGGCUCGAUACUGACGCUGAGGUGCGAAAGUGUGGGGAGCAAACAGGAUUAGAUACCCUGGUAGUCCACACCGUAAACGAUGAAUGCCAGUCGUCGGCAAGCAUGCUUGUCGGUGACACACCUAACGGAUUAAGCAUUCCCGCCUGGGGAGUACGGUCGCAAGAUUAAAACUCAAAGGAUUUGACGGGGCCCG